rnacentral:rRNA from 1 species
UACGAAGGGUGCAAGCGUUACUCGGAAUCACUGGGCGUAAAGAGCUCGUAGGCGGUUUGUCGCGUCUGCUGUGAAAACCCGAGGCUCAACCUCGGGCCUGCAGUGGGUACGGGCAGACUAGAGUGCGGUAGGGGAGAUUGGAAUUCCUGGUGUAGCGGUGGAAUGCGCAGAUAUCAGGAGGAACACCAAUGGCGAAGGCAGAUCUCUGGGCCGUAACUGACGCUGAGGAGCGAAAGCAUGGGGAGCGAACAGG